CAAUAGCGUAUAUUUAAGUUGCUGCAGUUAAAAAGCUCGUAGUUGGAUUUCGGGUGGGAAUGGCCGGUCCGCCGUUUCGGUGUGCACUUGCUACGCCCACCUUGCUGCCGGGGACGUGCUCUUGAGUUCACGCUCGGGACACGGAGUCGGCGAGGUUACUUUGAGUAAAUUAGAGUGUUCAAAGCAGGCCUACGCUCUGAAUACAUUAGCAUGGAAUAAUAAGAUAGGACUUUGGUGGUCUAUUUUGUUGGUUUGCACGCCAAAGUAAUGAUUAAUAGGGAUAGUUGGGGGUAUUCGUAUUCAAUUGUCAGAGGUGAAAUUCUUGGAUUUAUGGAAGACGAACUACUGCGAAAGCAUUUACCAAGGAUGUUUUCAUUAA
rnacentral:rRNA from 1 species